AACUUUCAACAACGGAUCUCUAGGCUCUUGCAUCGAUGAAGAACGCAGUGAAAUGCGAUAAGUAAUGUGAAUUGCAGAAUCUCGUGAAUCAUCGAAUCUUUGAACGCACAUUGCGCCCUAUGGUAUUCCGUAGGGCAUGCCUGUCUGAGCGUCA
rnacentral:rRNA from 4 species